UCCUACGGGAGGCAGCAGUGGGGAAUAUUGCGCAAUGGGCGAAAGCCUGACGCAGCGACGCCGCGUGGGGGAUGAAGCUUCUCGGAGUGUAAACCCCUUUCGACCCGGACGAAUGACCCGCAAGGGUUUGACGGUACGGGUAUAAGAAGCCCCGGCUAACUACGUGCCAGCAGCCGCGGUAAUACGUAGGGGGCCAGCGUUGCUCGGAAUUACUGGGCGUAAAGGGUUCGUAGGUGGUGCGGUAAGUUGGGAGUGAAAUCUCUGGGCUUAACUCAGGGGCUGCUUUCAAAACUGCCGUGCUCGAGUGCGAGAGAGGUCAGUGGAAUUGCAGGUGUAGCGGUGAAAUGCGUAGAUAUCUGCAGGAACACCCGUGGCGAAGGCGGCUGACUGGAUCGCAACUGACACUGAGGAACGAAAGCUAGGGGAGCAAACAGGAUUAGAUACCCUGGUAGUCCUAGCCCUAAACCAUCGGAACUUGGGGUGGCCCGCGUAGGCGGGUCGUCCCGUAGCUAACGCGUUAAGUUCCGCGCCUGGGGAGUACGGUCGCAAGACUGAAACUCAAAGGAAUUGACGGGGGCCCGCACAAGCGGUGGAACAUGUGGUUCAAUUCGACGCAACGCGAAGAACCUUACCUGGGCUUGAACCGCUACGGACCAAGGGUAGAAAUAUCCUCUUCCCGCAAGGGACCGUAGUAGAGGUGCUGCAUGGCUGUCGUCAGCUCGUGCCGUGAGGUGUUGGGGUUUAAGUCCCGCAACGAGCGCAACCCUUACUCGUAGUUGCUA
rnacentral:rRNA from 1 species